CCUCGCGCGAUGUCAGCAAUACCUAGGUCACCCUUGAAUAAACUACCCUUGUUGCUUUGGCGGGCCGCCCCUCGGGGCCAGCGGCUUCGGCUGCUGCGCGCCCGCCAGAGGACCACAACUCUUGUUUUUAGUGAUGUCUGAGUACUAUAUAAUAGUUAAAACUUUCAACAACGGAUCUCUUGGUUCUGGCAUCGAUGAAGAACGCAGCGAAAUGCGAUAAGUAAUGUGAAUUGCAGAAUUCAGUGAAUCAUCGAAUCUUUGAACGCACAUUGCGCCCUUUGGUAUUCCGAAGGGCAUGCCUGUUCGAGCGUCAUUAUAACCACUCAAGCCUUCGCUUGGUAUUGGGGUUCGCGGCUGCGCGGCCCCUAAAAUCAGUGGCGGUGCCUGUCGGCUCUACGCGUAGUAAUACUCCUCGCGUCUGGGUUCCGGUAGGUUGCUUGCCAGCAACCCCUAAAUUUUUUACAGGUUGACCUCGGAUCAGGUAGGGAUACCCGCUGAACUUAAGCAUAUCAAUA
rnacentral:rRNA from 1 species